AUGUAUAUGUGGGAAUAAGCACAAGCAGGAUCCAUGCCCGUGGUCCAGUCGGAGUAGAAGGAUUAUUGACAACGAGAUGGAUAAUGAGAGGAAAAGGACAAGUUGUUGAUGGAGACAAUGGAAUCGCUUACACCCGAAGGACCUUCCUGUCUUAAAAAGGACAGAGGCUGUGGAGAAUGGGAAUUAGUUCUCUAUCUUAAAAUGGAAUCGCUUACACCCUUUAACUUGUUUUAAUGAUAUGCAAUGGUCAAAUGAUUGCUAUGUGUCAUUCCAUUAGGAUUGUCGACAAGAAGAAGAAGAAGACAAGAAGGUUUUGCUCACGGACAAGAAGCUUUUAAAAACUUCAAAUUUAAAAACCUUUAAUGGACCUAUGAAAUAUUAAAGUUUCUUAAGAAAAUUUUAAUUUCACUUUUUUCAAAAUUAAAAAUAAAAUUUGUUUUAAGAUACUUUUAUUACAUUCUUUGAUGGACAUGCCCUUAGCCCGUCUAUUUCAGUGAAUGGAAUAACAUAAGUUUCUUAUG